UGGGGAAUUUUGGACAAUGGGCGAAAGCCUGAUCCAGCCAUGCCGCGUGAGUGAAGAAGGCCUUCGGGUUGUAAAGCUCUUUCGGCCGGGAAGAAAUCGUGUGGGCUAAUACCCUGCAUGGAUGACGGUACCGGAAUAAGAAGCACCGGCUAACUACGUGCCAGCAGCCGCGGUAAUACGUAGGGUGCGAGCGUUAAUCGGAAUUACUGGGCGUAAAGCGUGCGCAGGCGGUUUGGUAAGACAGGCGUGAAAUCCCCGGGCUCAACCUGGGAACUGCGCUUGUGACUGCCUCACUAGAGUACGGCAGAGGGGGGUGGAAUUCCACGUGUAGCAGUGAAAUGCGUAGAGAUGUGGAGGAACACCGAUGGCGAAGGCAGCCCCCUGGGCCGAUACUGACGCU
rnacentral:rRNA from 1 species